rnacentral:rRNA from 1 species
CGGGGUGCAGCAGGCGCGAAAACUNUGCAAUGCGGGAAACCGUGACAAGGGAACUCUGAGUGCCCGUAAAAUCGGGCUGUCCAUCGGUUUAAAUAACCGGUGAAGAAAGGGCCGGGCAAGACCGGUGCCAGCCGCCGCGGUAAUACCGGCGGCUCGAGUGGUGGCCACUAUUACUGGGCUUAAAGCGUUCGUAGCUGGUCUGUUAAGUCUCUGGGGAAAUCUUCCGGCUUAACCGGAAGGCGUCUCAGGGAUACUGGCAGACUAGGGACCGGGAGAGGUGAGAGGUACUCCAGGGGUAGGAGUGAAAUCCUGUAAUCCUUGGGGGACCACCUGUGGCGAAGGCGUCUCACCAGAACGGCUCCGACAGUGAGGGACGAAAGCUGGGGGAGCAAACCGGAUUAGAUACCCGGGUAGUCCCAGCUGUAAACGAUGCGCGUUAGGUGUAUCGGUGACCACGAGUCACCGAGGUGCCGAAGAGAAAUCGUGAAACGUGCCGCCUGGGAAGUACGGUCGCAAGGCUGAAACUUAAAGGAAUUGGCGGGGGAGCACAAGGGCGAAUCGC